rnacentral:ncRNA from 1 species
GAAGCCCCGGUGAACGGCGGCCGUAACUAUAACGGUCCUAAGGUAGCAAAAUUCCUUGUCGGGUUAGUUCCGACCCGCACGAAAGGCGUAACCAUCUUGGCACUGUCUCGGAGAGAGGCUCGGUGAAAUAGACAUGUCUGUGAAGAUGCGGACUACCUGCACCUGGACAGAAAGACCCUAUGAAGCUUUAUCGUUCCCUGGGAUUGGCUUUCGGCCUUUCCUGCGCAGCUUAGGUGGAAGGCGAAGAAGGCCCCCUUCCGGGGGGGCCCGAGCCAUCAGUGAGAUACCACUCUGGAAUAGCUCGGAUUCUAACCUUGUGUCAGACCCGCGGGCCAAGGGACAGUCUCAGGUAGAUAGUUUCUAUGGGGCGUAGGCCUCCCAAAAGGUAACAGAGGCGUGCAAAGGUUUCCUCGGGCCAGACGAACAUUGGUCCUCGAGUGCAAUGGCAGAAGGGAGCUUGAUUGCAAGACUCACCCGUCGAGCAGAGAUGAAAGUCGGCCUUAGUGAUCCGACGGUGCCGAGUGGAAGGGCCGCCGCUCAACGGAUAAAGUUACUCUAGGGAUAACAGGCUGAUCUUCCCCAAGAGUCCACAUCGACGGGAAGGUUUGGCACCUCGAUGUCGGCUCUUCGCCACCUGGAGCUGUAGGUGGUUCCAAGGGUUGGGCUGUUCGCCCAUUAAUGCGGUACGUGAGCUGGGUUCAGAACGUCAUGAGACAGUUCGGUCCAUAUCUGGUGUGGGUGUUAGAGCAUUGAGACGACCUUUCCCUAGUAUGAGAGGACCAGGAAGGAUGCACCUCUGGUGUACCAGUUAUCGUGCCUACGGUAAACGCUGGGUAGCCAAGUGCGGAGAGGAUAACUGCUGAAAGCAUAUAAGUAGUAAGCCCACCCCAAGAUGCGUGCUCUCUCCUCCGACUUCCCUAGAGCCUCCGGUAUCACAGCCGAGACAGUGACGGGUUCUCCACCCAUACGGGGAUGGAGAGACAGAAGUAUGGAAAUAGGAUAAGGUAGCGGCGAGACGAGCCGUUUAAAUAGGUGUCAAGUGGAAGUGCAAUGAUGUAUGCAGCUGAGGCAUCCUAACGAACGAGCGAUUUGAACCU